rnacentral:lncRNA from 1 species
CAUACUUCCAUUUCACUGACAGAAAUAAGAUAUAACUCAAUGAAGAGACUGACCAUGCUUGUUCACGUUUCAUAAAAAGAACAUAAAAAAUAGAUUUCUAUUCAUGGCAAACAGAAGAUCUCACUUCUCAAUCUACUGCCAUCAUGGGACCAUGACCUAAAUAUCUCAACUUAAGGCAAGAAAAUAAAGUACAAGCAAACCAAACUUGAAUUUCUCAUGUUACAGAAGAUGCAUUCAGGAUAAUAUUUUAUAUUAUUGAGAAAAAGCAAAAGGUAAUUACAUAGGAAACCAUCUCAUUUAGG